rnacentral:rRNA from 1 species
GUGUCAGCCGCCGCGGUAAUACAGAGGUGCCAAGCGUUAGGCGGAAUCACUGGGCUUAAAGCGCGCGUAGGCGGAUGUUUAAGUGUCUUGUGAAAUCCCACGGCUCAACCGUGGAACUGCUGGGCAUACUGGACAUCUCGAGGCACUCAGGGGCGAGCGGAACAAGUGGUGGAGCGGUGAAAUGCGUAGAUAUCACUUGGAACGCCAAUGGUGAAGACAGCUCGCUGGGGGUGUCCUGACGCUGAGGCGCGAAAGCCAGGGGAGCGAACGGGAUUAGAAACCCGCGUAGUCC